rnacentral:rRNA from 1 species
CCUAGUAACGGCGAGUGAAGCGGCAACAGCUCAAAUUUGAAAUCUGGCCUUCGGGUCCGAGUUGUAAUUUGCAGAGGAUGCUUUUGGCGCGGUGCCUUCCGAGUUCCCUGGAACGGGACGCCUUAGAGGGUGAGAGCCCCGUACGGUUGGACACCAAGCCUCUGUAAAGCUCCUUCGACGAGUCGAGUAGUUUGGGAAUGCUGCUCUAAAUGGGAGGUAAAUUUCUUCUAAAGCUAAAUAUUGGCCAGAGACCGAUAGCGCACAAGUAGAGUGAUCGAAAGAUGAAAAGCACUUUGAAAAGAGGGUUAAAUAGCACGUGAAAUUGUUGAAAGGGAAGCGUUUGCGACCAGACCUCUUCAUGGCGGAUCAUCCGGUGUUCUCACCGGUGCACUUCGCCACGUCGAGGCCAGCAUCGGUUUCUGUAGGGGGAUAAAAGCUCUGGGAACGUAGCUCCUCCGGGAGUGUUAUAGCCCUCUGCAUAAUACCUUUACGGGGACCGAGGACCGCGCUUUAUUGCAAGGAUGCUGGCGUAAUGGUCGUCAACGACCCGUCUUGAAACACGGACCAAGGAGUCGAACAUUUAUGCGAGUGUUUGGGUGUUAAACCCUCACGCGUAAUGAAGGUGAACGCAGGUGAGAGCCCUUACGGGUGCAUCAUCGACCGAUCCUGAUGUCUUCGGAUGGAUUUGAGUAAGAGCAUAGCUGUUCGGACCCGAAAGAUGGUGAACUAUGCGUGGAUAGGGUGAAGCCAGAGGAAACUCUGGUGGAGGCUCGCAGCGGUUCUGACGUGCAAAUCGAUCGUCAAAUCUGCGCAUGGGGGCGAAAGACUUAUCGAACCAUCUAGUAGCUGGUUACCGCCGAAGUUUCCCUCAGGAUAGCAGUGUUGUUCUUCAGUUUUAUGAGGUAAAGCGAAUGAUUAGGGACUCGGGGGCGCUUUUUUGCCUUCAUCCAUUCUCAAACUUUAAAUAUGUAAGAAGCCCUUGUUACUUAAUUGAACGUGGGCAUUCGAAUGUACCAACACUAGUGGGCCAUUUUUGGUAAGCAGAACUGGCGAUGCGGGAUGAACCGAACGCGGGGUUAAGGUGCCGGAGUGGACGCUCAUCAGACACCACAAAAGGUGUUAGCACAUUUAGACAAUAGGACGGUGGCCAUGGAAGUCGGAAUCCGCUAAGGACUGUGUAACAACUCACCUAUCGAAUGUGCUAGCCCUGAAAAUGGAUGGCGCUCAAGCGUCCCACCCAUACCUCGCCC